rnacentral:rRNA from 1 species
AGUCAUACGCUCGUCUCAAAGAUUAAGCCAUGCAUGUGUAAGUAUAAAUAAUUUUACUUUGAAACUGCGAAUGGCUCAUUAUAUCAGUUAUAGUUUAUUAGAAAUACUUUACUACUUGGAUAACCGUAGUAAUUCUAGGGCUAAUACAUGAGUAAAUCCUCAACUUCGGAAGAGGUGUGUUUAUUAGUAUGAAAACCAUAUAUCUUCGGAUAUAAUAGUGAGUAAUAAUAACCUUUCGUAUCGUAUGUCGUAAGAUAACGAUAGUUCUUUCAAGUUUCUGCCCUAUCAGCUUUCGAUGGUAGUAUAUGGGACUACCAUGGCAGUAACGGGUAACGAAGAAUUUGGGUUCGAUUUCGGAGAGGGAGCCUGAGAGAUGGCUACCACAUCCAAGGAAGGCAGCAGGCGCGUAAAUUACCCAAUCCUGACAUAGGGAGGUAGUGACAAUAAAUCACAAUGCGGAACUAUUUAGUUUUGCAAUUGGAUUGAGAACAAUGUACAAAUGUUAUCGAUAAACAAUUGGAGGGCAAGUCUGGUGCCAGCAGCCGCGGUAAUUCCAGCUCCAAUAGCGUAUAUUAACGUUGUUGCAGUUAAAAAGCUCGUAGUUGAAAUGUGGGAUGAAGUAUAUGAUGAAUUUUAUAUUCAAUUAUAUAUUGAUUCCCCUCUCCAAUUUAUUAUUAUGGGUAUUAAUUUAUUUGUAAUAAGAAUUGGUCAUUUACUGUGAGAAAAUUAGAGUGUUCAAAGCAGGCAUUUGCUUGAAUAGAUUAGCAUGGAAUAAUACUAAAAGGCUUUUAUGGUCGAUUUAAUUGGUUUGUUCAUAAAAGCAAGAUUAAAAGGAACAGUUGGGGGUAUUCAUAUUCAAUAGUUAGAGGUGAAAUUCUCGGAUUUAUGGAA